UCUUUUUUCCCCAACCCAAUACCAUACCCAACGCCCUCUUAGUCCAAAUUCUAUUUUCAUUGAAAAGCAAGACCUAGAGGGUGUUUGGCUAAAAGUAUUUUUCAAUAUCUAAGAUUUGUUAGUUCCUCUAAAUCAGCUAAGCCAAACUUACUCCUACACGUAAGAUAGAGAUCAGAUUUUUUCGAGGCUAGCGCAGCUUUUACCUGUCCCUACUAUCUCGACUAUCUUCCUCAUUUUUUCUCACUCGGCACAAGAACCAAAAACCAGACCACUCCCGUUUAGGAAAACCCAGGAGCGGCGCACCACUGUGCCUCUUGAAUAGAAAAAGAACGAGCAUCUCAAAAGAACUGAAAUUUCUAAAAGAAGAUAGACGAAAAAUUAAUUUCGAAAUUUAACUUCUCCUUUUCUGGUUUGUACGAGCGUCGAUUUCAUAGAUGUUGUCUGUUGAUUUUGAAUCUAUUGCGGCUGAACUUCAUCCUCGGAGUUUUUCGGCCUUCAUUUGAUUUCUGAAUUUUGUCCCUUCCUAUGUAGAGGUGUGACGUGCAGCUACUGCAAUAUUAUGCACUGCCUCCUUGGUUAACUAGAAUUACAGAGAGAAUAAAUGAGAAAUCAGGUUUAUUUCCUUCAUCAAUUAAUCACGUGCUUAUCAAUGAAUACCUUCCCAACCAAGGAAUAUCUGAACUUGUAUAAGCUGCUUUGCUCAUUUCAUUUGCUGCUUAUUCUUCUUUUUCUUCCUCCUUUUCCCAUUUCCGUUUUUAUCUCAAAUAUCUGUUCGCGUCUUGCCCUCUUUGUUUUGUAGCACCUACUUCCUUACAAAGUUUGAGCAUUUUGACAUGAAACUGUUAUAUAAAGUCAGUGUGCGUACCAUGUUAAUUCUGGUUAGGAGGUCCAUAUUGCAACUGUUAGCUCAUGUAACAUUGUGGGUAUUUAAGUCAUAUGCUCAUAAGCUAAUAAAGUAGGAUAAUAACUAUAGUAGUGAAUAAGGAUUAAAUUUCUUGGUUUACGUAACAUUAAAUUAGUUUUGCUGACAAGAGCACUUGCACUGUAGCCGCAUCAAGAUAGACCAGUU
rnacentral:lncRNA from 1 species